rnacentral:sRNA from 2 species
GCCUAGCCCUGAUAGAAGUGGAAAUCCUUUUGCUUUUUUCUUUAAAAAGCAAAAGAUUGAAACGUAUAGCAGGAAAUAGC